AUGCAGAGUGUGGAAGGUCCAGAGGGAGAAUUUCCAGAGCUCAAGAAUGAUUCAGAAUACCCCAAGAAGAAGAGUUAUUCAGCAAGUUCCAUAACCAGCCGGUGUGGCGUCGUUCUUGCUGGUCAAGGGUGGACGCUGCAAGUGGUGGCCCGUACGGGGUCUUCAGAACUUCUCACAGUCGGGGCGGCGCGGGUAAGUUCCCAAGGUAAGUGGAACUGUAAGGUCUUCGGUAAAGGAGCACCAACGUCCUCAGGAAAAGAGGAAUUAGGUCUUCAGUAAAGGAGUACCAAAGCCCUCGGGGAAGAGGCAGUAAAGUCUCCAGAAAGGAGCCACACUGUUCUCGACAAAAGCGAACCAAAAGUAAAAAAACCUCGCUUCUGCUUUAACUUGCAGUGUGAAAGUAAGUUAAUGGACCCCGCUAUUAUAGUGGUGAUUUGGCUGCUUUUUAACAUCGCAGUGUGGGCUUUUGUUUUCUGGUGUUGUUAUCCGACUUGCACACCUUCAGAGCGC
rnacentral:lncRNA from 1 species